AUUGAACGCUGGCGGCAGGCCUAACACAUGCAAGUCGAGCGAGCGGCGGACGGGUGAGUAUUGUCUGUGAAACUGCCUGCUGUAGGGGGAUAACUCCUGGAAACGGUAGCUAAUACCGCAUACCCUCAGAUGUGCCCAGAUGGGAUUAGCUAGUGGGUGGGGUAACGGCUCACCUAGGCGACGAUCCCUAGCUGGUCUGAGAGGAUGACCAGCCACACUGGAACUGAGACACGGUCCAGACUCCUACGGGAGGCAGCAGUGGGGAAUAUUGCACAAUGGGCGCAAGCCUGAUGCAGCCAUGCCGCGUGUGUGAAGAAGGCCUUCGGGUUGUAAAGCACUUUCAGCGGGGAGGCGUUACCCGCAGAAGAAGCACCGGCUAACUCCGUGCCAGCAGCCGCGGUAAUAC
rnacentral:rRNA from 1 species